rnacentral:tRNA from 1 species
GGCACUUUGGCGGAGUGGUUAACGCGUAAGUUACCGUUAAUCUAUGAUCAAUCACAUGAUUCUAACAAUGCACAGGAUGCCCUGCUAUUACCAAAUUCUUGGGAAGCCAGGCAUUUCCCUCGGGAGCGUGAGUUCGAAUCUCACAGGUGUCG